UCUGAUUCGAAUAUGAUGGUUGUGAGGGAACAGACACCGUCCGAAGCGCUUGCAAUAGUCCCGAUUCAGGUUUUUGUGCCGGCAUCCCAAACAACCACUGAGACAGAUUUUGAACCAACCCCUAUGCUACAGAUUGAAGGGACUACAGAAAGCACUCCUGAAACCCCCAAACAACUUCAAGAGACCACACCCACGGUUCCCCCAUCUCCAACUAAAAUG